rnacentral:rRNA from 1 species
GUGCCAGCCGCCGCGGUAAUACGUAGGUCCCGAGCGUUGUCCGGAUUUAUUGGGCGUAAAGCGAGCGCAGGUGGUUUAUUAAGUCUGGUGUAAAAGGCAGUGGCUCAACCAUUGUAUGCAUUGGAAACUGGUAGACUUGAGUGCAGGAGAGGAGAGUGGAAUUCCAUGUGUAGCGGUGAAAUGCGUAGAUAUAUGGAGGAACACCGGUGGCGAAAGCGGCUCUCUGGCCUGUAACUGACACUGAGGCUCGAAAGCGUGGGGAGCAAACAGGAUUAGAUACCCUGGUAGUCCACGCCGUAAACGAUGAGUGCUAGAUGUAGGGAGCUAUAAGUUCUCUGUAUCGCAGCUAACGCAAUAAGCACUCCGCCUGGGGAGUACGACCGCAAGGUUGAAACUCAAAUAAAUUGACGG